rnacentral:lncRNA from 1 species
GAUGAUCACAGAUUCAUAGAUGCUCAAGCCGCACACGUGUCCGACCACUACGGAUAUCAGGAUCAAUCUCGAUCUGAUCUUCUCGUUGUAGAAUCUUCUUCUCAAGAAGAAUCUUAGGUUUGAAAUCUUAGACCAACAUCUUGAUUUUGGACCGUGCGAUUAACUCUUUGAUCUGCAAUCUUCUUCUUCUUCUUCUCGAUCUUCAUUCUUGAAGAUAAAAUAGCAUCACCUCUUGGCAUGUGAAAAGGGGACGUCCAACUCUUGGGUGUGGAAGAGAAGAGAGGGAGGAG